rnacentral:rRNA from 1 species
UACGAAGGGGGGCUAGCGUUGUUCGGAAUUACUGGGCGUAAAGCGCGCGCAGGCGGUCUUCCAAGUCAGUGGUGAAAGCCCGGAGCUCAACUCCGGAACUGCCAUUGAAACUGUUAGACUUGAGGAUGAGAGAGGUGAGUGGAAUUCCCAGUGUAGAGGUGAAAUUCGUAGAUAUUGGGAAGAACACCGGUGGCGAAGGCGGCUCACUGGCUCAUUUCUGACGCUCAGGCGCGACAGCGUGGGGAUCAAACAGG